rnacentral:rRNA from 1 species
GACGAAUGCUGGCGGCGUGCUUAACACAUGCAAGUCGAACGGAAAGGCCCUGCUUUUGUGGGGUGCUCGAGUGGCGAACGGGUGAGUAACACGUGAGUAACCUGCCCUUGACUUUGGGAUAACUUCAGGAAACUGGGGCUAAUACCGGAUAGGAGCUCCUGCUGCAUGGUGGGGGUUGGAAAGUUUCGGCGGUUGGGGAUGGACUCGCGGCUUAUCAGCUUGUUGGUGGGGUAGUGGCUUACCAAGGCUUUGACGGGUAGCCGGCCUGAGAGGGUGACCGGCCACAUUGGGACUGAGAUACGGCCCAGACUCCUACGGGAGGCAGCAGUGGGGAAUAUUGCACAAUGGGCGGAAGCCUGAUGCAGCAACGCCGCGUGCGGGAUGACGGCCUUCGGGUUGUAAACCGCUUUCGCCUGAGACGAAGCGUGAGUGACGGUAAUGGGUAAAGAAGCACCGGCUAACUACGUG